UACGGAAGGAGCAGUGGGGAAUAUUGCACAAUGGGCGCAAGCCUGAUGCAGCCAUGCCGCGUGUAUGAAGAAGGCCUUCGGGUUGUAAAGUACUUUCAGUCGUGAGGAAGGUGUUAAGGUUAAUAACCUUAGCAAUUGACGUUAGCGACAGAAGAAGCACCGGCUAACUCCGUGCCAGCAGCCGCGGUAAUACGGAGGGUGCGAGCGUUAAUCGGAAUUACUGGGCGUAAAGGGCACGCAGGCGGUUAAUUAAGUUGGAUGUGAAAUCCCCGGGCUUAACCUGGGAAUGGCAUUCAAGACUGGUUAGCUAGAGUCUUGUAGAGGAGGGUAGAAUUCCAUGUGUAGCGGUGAAAUGCGUAGAGAUGUGGAGGAAUACCGGUGGCGAAGGCGGCCCCUGGGACAAAGACUGACGCUCAUGUGCGAAAGCGUGGGGAGCAAACGAGGAUUAGAUACC
rnacentral:rRNA from 1 species